rnacentral:rRNA from 1 species
AACGAACGCUGGCGGCAGGCUUAACACAUGCAAGUCGAACGCCCCGCAAGGGGAGUGGCAGACGGGUGAGUAACGCGUGGGAAUCUACCUAGUUCUACGGAACAACUGAGGGAAACUUCAGCUAAUACCGUAUACGCCCUAAGGGGGAAAGAUUUAUCGGAAUUAGAUGAGCCCGCGUUGGAUUAGCUAGUUGGUGGGGUAAUGGCCUACCAAGGCGACGAUCCAUAGCUGGUCUGAGAGGAUGAUCAGCCACACUGGGACUGAGACACGGCCCAGACUCCUACGGGGGGCAGCAGUGUGGAAUAUUGGACAAUGGGCGCAAGCCUGAUGCAGCCACGCCGCGUGAGUGAUGAAGGCCUUAGGGUUGUAAAGCUCUUUCAGUGGGGAGGAUAAUGACGGUACCCACAGAAGAAGCCCCGGCUAACUUCGUGCCAGCAGCCGCGGUAAGAC